GACGAACGCUGGCGGCGUGCUUAACACAUGCAAGUCGAACGGAAAGGCCCUGCUUUUGUGGGGUGCUCGAGUGGCGAACGGGUGAGUAACACGUGAGUAACCUGCCCUUGACUUUGGGAUAACUUCAGGAAACUGGGGCUAAUACCGGAUAGGAGCUCCUGCUGCAUGGUGGGGGUUGGAAAGUUUCGGCGGUUGGGGAUGGACUCGCGGCUUAUCAGCUUGUUGGUGGGGUAGUGGCUUACCAAGGCUUUGACGGGUAGCCGGCCUGAGAGGGUGACCGGCCACAUUGGGACUGAGAUACGGGCCAGACUCCUACGGGAGGCAGCAGUGGGGAAUAUUGCACAAUGGGCGGAAGCCUGAUGCUGCAACGCCGCGUGCGGGAUGACGGCCUUCGGGUUGUAAACCGCUUUCGCCUGUGACGAAGCGUGAGUGACGGUAAUGGGUAAAGAAGCACCGGCUAACUACGUG
rnacentral:rRNA from 1 species